rnacentral:lncRNA from 1 species
UUAUAUUUUUAAAUAACCAUAUAGUCUGUUAUUUUUAAACUGAUAAUAUUGUAAUUAGUUAAAAAGUCAAAGUUCAAAUCAUAAAAUGAUAAAUAAGUGUUCCGUGGAAAUUGUUUUCGAAAAUCUAAUUCGUUCAUAAUUCUUUCAAGUAAUAAACUUUAUUCAAAUAAAUUCGGAUCUUCCCUUAUCUGAUCACCAGCAUGGCUAAAGGUAUUACUCCCAAAGGUAUUGGAAGGGGUGUAAGGUGACACGUCCAGGUAUUCAAUCGAUUUCCUGUCCGGCGGGCUUGCAAGUUCAUGCAUCGUUUCACUUCUGUAGGUAUUGAUCAGUGUACACGACCGUUACUUAUAACUUUCCAUUUUGAACUAUCAGGUGCAUGUAUAAUAUACAUUUUUGUCUUGCGUGUCCGAAAGUGAUAUAAUAUACUAGUCAUUACUGAACUCAUACGCUUGUUUAUAAAUAACAUUUCUGGUGUAAAGAAAUAUUAUUUAUAAAAAAAAAAAUAAUACAAAAAAAAAUAAUUGAAGAAAUACAAAUCUAUUUACAUAUUUUUCCAAGGGUUAUUUGGGAAAAUGUAAUAUAUACUCGUUGUCAAUAGUUUAGGACAGAUUGGAACAUACCAGAAUUAUUGAUCUAAAAAAAUGUGCGCACUUGUCGACGAUUCGUGUAUACAUACGCCUGGUAGAAAGUUACGGAACUAUAGUCAGUAGCGCAAUUUAAAAUAUGUAUACAUGUAUACAUUGAACAUAAGAAAGAAACAUACAUUUUGUGUAAAUUGUGGUAAAAGUUUUGGAAAUAGACUAGUCCAUGUAUGCCAACAGUAUGUAAUCAACGAAUUCGAUAGACUAUUGUAUACCAAAAGAGAAGAAGAAAAAAAGAAACAAUUUGAUUUAAAUACAGGUCAAUUUAUAACUUGCUUUGGUUCAUCGAAGUUAAGAACAUAGUAAACUCAC